GACUUGUGACCCUGGUCAGGCUGGGUUUUCUGCUUCCCUAAUGCUGUCACAGGUCUUGUGCAAUUGGAUUGAAACAGAAGUUGUGUUCCACUCACCAAUGGUCCUAAGAUCAUGUGGAGAGUCCUCAAGGGACCUUGGAGAUGUCCGCCGACUCAUCGCACAAGGUGAUCCAGUGCUGGUGCUGACCAGAAGGGCAUGCUGGAAUUUCUUAAAAGGCUUGACUCUUGUUUUAUGGACAUCAAAGAUGAUUACAUUUCCCAGAUACACUGACUAGAGCGUCAAUGAACAUGAAUGUGCAAACAUCUCUGUAAAUACCAGAAGUUCAGGACAGCAUACUUACAAUCCAGCUCAAAAGUGUCACCAAACAUGAAUAAGCAGCAGUGGCAUGAUCCUGAAGAAACAACCAAGCCUCCACAGAAUCGCCAUGAGUAAGCAAGAGUGAUCACAACCAGCCGGAAUGCCAAUAGAAGUUCUCCACUGUGCCUCUCUCAGCAAAGUGAAGAUGGAAGAUGAAAGAAGUGUUGCAGGACUAGCUAUGCAAAUACACUGUCA